rnacentral:rRNA from 2 species
ACAUGCAAGUCGAACGAGCUUCCGUUGAAUGACGUGCUUGCACUGAUUUCAACAAUGAAGCGAGUGGCGAACUGGUGAGUAACACGUGGGGAAUCUGCCCAGAAGCAGGGGAUAACACUUGGAAACAGGUGCUAAUACCGUAUAACAACAAAAUCCGCAUGGAUUUUGUUUGAAAGGUGGCUUCGGCUAUCACUUCUGGAUGAUCCCGCGGCGUAUUAGUUAGUUGGUGAGGUAAAGGCCCACCAAGACGAUGAUACGUAGCCGACCUGAGAGGGUAAUCGGCCACAUUGGGACUGAGACACGGCCCAAACUCCUACGGGAGGCAGCAGUAGGGAAUCUUCCACAAUGGACGAAAGUCUGAUGGAGCAAUGCCGCGUGAGUGAAGAAGGGUUUCGGCUCGUAAAACUCUGUUGUUAAAGAAGAACACCUUUGAGAGUAACUGUUCAAGGGUUGACGGUAUUUAACCAGAAAGCCACGGCUAACUACGUGCCAGCAGCCGCGGUAAUACGUAGGUGGCAAGCGUUGUCCGGAUUUAUUGGGCGUAAAGCGAGCGCAGGCGGUUUUUUAAGUCUGAUGUGAAAGCCUUCGGCUUAACCGGAGAAGUGCAUCGGAAACUGGGAGACUUGAGUGCAGAAGAGGACAGUGGAACUCCAUGUGUAGCGGUGGAAUGCGUAGAUAUAUGGGAAGAACACCAGUGGCGAAGGCGGCUGUCUAGUUCUGUAACUGACGCUGAGGCUCGAAAGCAUGGGGUAGCGAACAGGAUUAGAUACCCCUGGAAGUCCAUGCCGUAAACGAUGAGUGCUAAGUGUUGGAGGGUUCCGCCCCUUCAGAGCUGCAGCUACCGCAAUAAGCACUCCGCCUGGGGAGUAUGACCGCAAGGGUGAAACCUCCAAGGAAAUGGACGGGGCCCGCACAAUGCGGUGGAGCUUGUGGUUAUAUUUCAAAGCUACGCGAAGAACCUUACCAGGUCUUGGCAUCCUUCUGCCAAUCUUAAAAGAUUAAAAUGUUU